GACGAACGCUGGCGGCGUGCUUAACACAUGCAAGUCGAACGGUGAAGCGAGUGCUUGCACUCGUGGAUCAGUGGCGAACGGGUGAGUAACACGUGAGUAACCUGCCCAUCACUCUGGGAUAAGCACUGGAAACGGUGUCUAAUACUGGAUACGACCAACCCUUGCAUGGGGUGUUGGUGGAAAGGUUUAUCGGUGAUGGAUGGACUCGCGGCCUAGCAGCUUGUUGGCGGGGUAAUGGCCCACCAAGGCGACGACGGGUAGCCGGCCUGAGAGGGUGACCGGCCACACUGGGACUGAGACACGGCCCAGACUCCUACGGGAGGCAGCAGUGGGGAAUAUUGCACAAUGGGCGAAAGCCUGAUGCAGCGACGCCGCGUGAGGGAUGACGGCCUUCGGGUUGUAAACCUCUUUCAGCAGGGAAGAAGCGAAAGUGACGGUACCUGCAGAAGAAGCACCGGCUAACUACGUG
rnacentral:rRNA from 1 species